CAAAAAAAAUGCAUUUGAGGCUUCUAUUCUGGUUAUAUUUUGUGCAACAUUAUCCUUGGUCAAGUAUCUGUUCCUAUAUACAAAAGGUCUUUAUUUUAAUGGAAAAUUGAGCAGUAGCCAUUGACCCAUUUCAGUUGACUAAGGGUAUGUUUGGAUCCACCUCAAUCAAAUUAUAGAAGUUAACAUGUAAAUUGUGGAAUUGUUAAAAGAAUGUGGGUUGUCUGUAUCCACCCGGAUUUUUGGGUGGUUGUCUCCCAAGUUCAUGAAAGCUGAGGUGAGGUAACAUGUGAGAUUCCAUAAUAUGGGGUUAGUGGAUUGUGAAAGAGUUGGACCACAAUCUAGGCUGUUUGGAUCACAAGCUUGUUUCUAAAAGGUAGAUGCUCCACAAUUUGGGUGGAUUCAAACAGACCUUAAGCAUAACCAUCUGAUUUGGAUACCUCCUCCCUCCCUCGGUCCCUCCCUCCGAACAUCCUCAUUGCAUUACUGGACCUGCCGUUCUCCGAGUCCACCUAAUUCCUUGAUCCUCCAUCACCAUCACCACCCAAGCAACUGUCCAUCGUGCACACUACCCAC
rnacentral:lncRNA from 1 species